GUAGGUGGCAAGCGUUGUCCGGAAUUAUUGGGCGUAAAGCGCGCGCAGGUGGUUCUUUAAGUCUGAUGUGAAAGCCCCCGGCUCAACCGGGGAGGGUCAUUGGAAACUGGGGAACUUGAGUGCAGGAGAGGAAAGUGGAAUUCCACGUGUAGCGGUGAAAUGCGUAGAUAUGUGGAGGAACACCAGUGGCGAAGGCGACUUUCUGGCCUGUAACUGACACUGAGGCGCGAAAGCGUGGGGAGCAAACAGGGAUUAGAUACCCUGGUAGUCCACGCCGUAAACGAUGAGUGCAAAGUGUUGGGGGGGUUUCCCGCCCCUCAGUGCUGCAGCUAACGCAUUAAGCACUCCGCCUGGGGAUACGGUCGCAAGACUG
rnacentral:rRNA from 1 species